rnacentral:misc_RNA from 1 species
AAGUCGUAACAAGGUCUCCGUUGGUGAACCAGCGGAGGGAUCAUUACCGAGUUUUCAACUCCCAAACCCCAUGUGAACUUAUACCAUUUACAACCGUUGCUUCGGCGGGUUCUCGCCCCGGGCUUUACACCCCGGAACCAGGCGGCCCGCCGGGGGACCCAAACUCUAGACUUAUAUUUUAGCAUGUCUGAGUGGAAUCAUUACAAAAUGAAUCAAAACUUUCAACAACGGAUCUCUUGGUUCUG